rnacentral:rRNA from 1 species
UACAGAGGUCUCAAGCGUUGUUCGGAUUCAUUGGGCGUAAAGGGUGUGUAGGUGGCGCGCUAAGUCGGGUGUGAAAUUUCGGAGCUUAACUCCGAAACUGCAUUCGAUACUGGCGUGCUUGAGGACUGGAGAGGAGACUGGAAUUCAUGGUGUAGCAGUGAAAUGCGUAGAGAUCAUGAGGAAGACCAGUGGCGAAGGCGGGUCACUGGACCGGUACUGACGCUGAUGCGCGAAAGCGUGGGGAGCAAACAGG